GUUACUUUAUAUAACUUCACAUAAUUGUUUUUUUUUCUGAAAAUGAGUGAAAUCCGGAUGUAUAGAUAUAUUUAAGAUGCGAUUAAAAACUAACAUAUAGAGCUCUUACAAUUAUAUAUUCAGGCAUUUUCUGGCUUGUCUUAAAUUACAUUUAUGUUGCAGGAAAGUUUACCAAUUUAACUAAGUUUUGCUUUCAAACAGGAAUAGGAACACUCAGUAAACAUGCUCGCUGAAACGAUUCCAUUUGUUAUUCUGCUUGUUCUUUGCUGUCUGACUGGAAGCGAUGCUGGCUCCUGUUCAAUAACAACCAUAUGCGAAAUUCCUAUCCCAUCUGGAAGCAACCAAUGCGAUAAAGCAGGGACCUGGCGAAACGAACUCACGUCUGUCAUGAAGUUCAGUUGCAGAGGUGGUCAAAUUGAAGGGCUAUACUGUUGCUCGGUAGGAAAGGCAAGCUUAUUUUACCCGAUGGCUGGACGCUUCUUGCAAGCUGAGAAAAACACGACCAUGCUUGGAUGGACCGUCUAAUGGGCGAACAAAGAACAAGGAAACAGCCAGUCUUGGACGGGACUCUCAUACAGCGGCCAGAACACAAUUCACACACAGUGGCUCCUCGUGAUGUAUUCCAAAGCUUUGUGAAACUCUACUUUGCUCAAUACGGAUACAUUCAAGAAAAUAUGCUAAGAGCGUAACAGGCAUAAUGUUAAUUUCACAACGCUUCUAUAGAUUUAAUUAUUGCAAAUAGACAUUAUGAAUUGUGUAAUCAAAUACCUUCUUACCUGCUCAUGGAGGUAUAAACAUAACUUUAUCGUUAAUUUGGUUUUGAACUUCGGUGUUAUGAUAUCAAUGCAUUUAGUAUUGGAAAGAUAUGUAUGAAUGUUGAUUGGUUUAAAGUAAAAAUCUGAUUAGGAAUUAAUUUAAUAUAAAACAAAGCUAUUGUG